AACAUCCUCGUUUAAUUAAGAGAAAGAAUUGCGAUCUUAGGAUUAAGACAAGAAUUGCAAUUUACCUGACAGACAAUCUACAGAAACCGCUCAAUGUGUAGAAUUCAAUUGCAGAUCAAAUAUAGUAUAUAUUUCAUAGUGCGAGUGACGAGUUCGAGGGACUACACGCGGGAUCACGCGCAUUUGUCCGGGAACAUUGUGACCGAGUGAGGUUGGGGUCAAGAGAGAAACAAAGAUGGCGCAAAACUGUACACAUGUUGAUGGUCAGAGGCAAACAAACUUUUGGUAUCGUGAACCAGUAAUAGGGCCUUUGCCUGGGGCCAUUACAUGAAAGAAAGUUAACUUAAUCGUCAAGAAAUAGCCGAACUCUUAAAGGGUGCAGUUUUACAGUGAAAAGACAAGCAGAUAAAACUCCCGGGAUGAAAAAGAGUAAUCUAAACAGAGCGGGAGAAUAAAUGCGUUAAGCUAAGUGCAGAAUUAACUUGAGACGGAAGGCAGAGAAGAUGCAAACCUCGCCAGAUUAAAACAAGAUAACAUUACAUGAAUUCAACCUUUGCUUUUGUGCACUUCUGUACAGGCAGUGUUAUUGGCAGAGGCAGAGAGCAUUGGAAUGUGGAUUUUGGGCCCAGGACCAGAGAUGUUGGACCAUGGACUGUGAACCGUGGACCAUGGACUGUGAACUGAGGAGCAUGGAACCAUGGACUAAGGAGCAUGGAACCAGGACUAUGGAACAAGGAUGGGGGACCAGCGAGAGAGGACUUAAAACCAAGGACAGAGGGUGGGCAGGAAGCCCUGAAUGAUCACAAAUUGGACUUGACCUGAACUACAACUAUUAUUUGCAUGUUAAGGUAAUAUAUUUUACCUUAUUCUGACUUACUUGGGGAGCACGGAUGGCACAGUGU